rnacentral:rRNA from 1 species
GCGCAACCCUUAUCCUUUGUUGCCAGCGAUUCGGUCGGGAACUCAAAGGAGACUGCCGGUGAUAAACCGGAGGAAGGGGGGGAUGACGUCAAGUCAUCAUGGCCCUUACGAGUAGGGCUACACACGUGCUACAAUGGCGUAUACAAAGAGAAGCGACCUCCCGAGAGCAAGCGGACCUCAUAAAGUACGUCGUAGUCCGGAUUGGAGUCUGCAACUCGACUCCAUGAAGUCGGAAUCGCUAGUAAUCGUAG